rnacentral:tRNA from 1 species
GCGCAGUCAAUGAUACUUCACUGCCCUCCGAAGGCAGAGGUCACAGGUUCGAAUCCUGUCGGGUGCGCCA